AACGAACGCUGGCGGCAGGCUUAACACAUGCAAGUCGAACGGUUGUAGCAAUACAGCAGUGGCAGACGGGUGAGUAACACGUGGGAACCUUCCUAGGGGUACGGAACAACUCAGGGAAACUUGAGCUAAUACCGUAUACGUCCGUGAGGAGAAAGAUUUAUCGCCCUUAGACGGGCCCGCGUUGGAUUAGCUAGUUGGUGGGGUAACGGCCUACCAAGGCGACGAUCCGUAGCUGAUCUUAGAGGAUGAUCAGCCAAACUGGUAAUGCGACACGUCCCAGACUCCUACGGGAGGCAGCAGUGGGGAAUCUUGGAAAAUGGGCGCAAGCCUGAUCCAGCCAUGCCGCGUGAGUGAAGAAGGUCUUCGGAUUGUAAAGCUCUUUUUCCAGGGACGAUAAUGACGGUACCUGGAGAAUAAGCCCCGGCAAACUACGUGCCAGCAGCCGCGGUAA
rnacentral:rRNA from 1 species